GACGAACGCUGGCGGCGUGCUUAACACAUGCGAGUCGAACGGAAAGGCCCUGCUUUUGUGGGGUGCUCGAGUGGCGAACGGGUGAGUAACACGUGAGUAACCUGCCCUUGACUUUGGGAUAACUUCAGGAAACUGGGGCUAAUACCUGAUAGGAGCUCCUGCUGCAUGGUGGGGGUUGGAAAGUUUCGGCGGUUGGGGAUGGACUCGCGGCUUAUCAGCUUGUUGGUGGGGUAGUGGCUUACCAAGGCUUUGACGGGUAGCCGGCCUGAGAGGGUGACCGGCCACAUUGGGACUGAGAUACGGCCCAGACUCCUACGGGAGGCAGCAGUGGGGAAUAUUGCACAAUGGGCGGAAGCCUGAUGCAGCAACGCCGCGUGCGGGAUGACGGCCUUCGGGUUGUAAACCGCUUUCGCCUGUGACGAAGCGUGAGUGACGGUAAUGGGUAAAGAAGCACCGGCUAACUACGUG
rnacentral:rRNA from 1 species